UCUGCUCGCAGUGUCUCGGCACAGAGGCGAAGAAUCCUAAAGGAGUCCCUGAAGCCCUCAGCCGCUGCUCUGGGUGUUCUGCUUCAGUCCAUCUGUCCUGUGCGUGGAAAGGAUCUGAACUAUCUAGUCUUCUCGAAAAGGGUGGCAAGUGGUUCUGUGAAGAUUGCUCGCAAUGCGCAGCAUGUUCAGAAACUGAUGUCUCUCCGUGCCUUCUUGGAUGUUGCUCUUGCGAACGGAACUUCCACAUAGCAUGCUUGGAUCCGCCUGCCGAGAAAAAACCGAAAUGCCCCUGGAGGUGCCGCCAUUGCCUUUCCCACCAUGAAACUCCAAAACGGAGUCAAACAUCGACACCUGUAUUGGGACUAAGUAGUAGUCGGAGGAAAGGAACGAAAUGUCGUGAUAAAAUGGAUUCUCGUGCAAUAAGGUAA